GGCAGCAGCCCCGUUAAUGGGUGUGCUCAGGGCUGUCUGUGUCCGUGCAGCUUCUACCCAAAGCUCUCCUUGGCCUCUCAGCGUGGCUCUUCCCCUUGCCAUGGGCAGCUUCGCCCGCUGGCACCCCAGGGCUGGGGCUGGCACAGCCCUGGCACGCAGGGGUGUGCUCGUGGUGACUUUAUUCUGGCACGGCCCAACCAGUCUUAGAAUGGGAGCCCUGGAACAGCUGCCCAUGGAGGGCAUGGUGACAUCUCCAGACUCCUCUCUGAAGUCAUUCCAAACCCAAACCCACCUUGACCCCUUCCUGUGGCACCUGCUCCAGGUGACCCUGCCUUGGCAGCAAGUUGGACUGGAUGGUCUCCAGAGGGCCCUUCCAACCCUAAUAAUUCUGCGACUUGUUUCUUGUAGGACUAAGAACUCAACCUGAUGAUCAAGGUUGUGAUAAUCCUCAUUUACAGAUCUGCCUUCCCCACCCUGCCAGUGCUCUCUUUAUCUGUACUACUCUGCACUUCAGUUUUGUGACUCAAGUGCAAGUCUUAACUGGGAGGGAAAAGUUGCUGCCAUUAAAAAUGCACACAGGAACCCUGUGGGAUGAUGCUCAGUGGUAACAGUGGGGCAAACUUAAUCCAUGGCAGAAUUUUUGAGAAAAUCAAUGUGUCCCUUCAAAAGCAAUAACUUAAAUAAUAUUUAAGAAACGGGGCAUCUUUUUACUUUUCUUCAAGCAUCCCCAGUUGCCAGGGGCCUCACCAAAACAUAUAUUUGCUGGUGUGGCUUCUCUUGUCAAAUUUGACCUGUUCUGUUCACAGCAACACCCAGGUGUUAAAUAGUUUAAACUUAACCAAGGAGGUAUUUGCAGUGGUAGUUCAAACUUGCUGCAGUCAACAUGCAAUAAUAGGUUAAUUAGGAGGAUUUUUUUCCCUAUAAUAGUUACCUUCGUGAAGAAUUUUUAUAAAUUUAUUUUAUAAAGUUGCUGGUUAUAAUUUUUUUCACUGAGUUCUUCUCCCAGGUUGUGCUCUGCAUAUCUUAAAUGCCACCUCAUUUCACACAGGUCAUGCUGGGAAGUUAUUUUACACACCAAGACUGGAGACUUGGCCAAAGGAAGCUUAGAUAAAACAUCAGAUCACUUGUUGUGUUUUUCUCCUCCAGUGACCUGUAUCCUUGUUUCACUUUCCUUUUGAUGAAUGUCUUCUGUAUUUUCCUCUGUUAGUAGUUAGUGGAAAACAUCAGUUCAUUUGCAAAAUAGUGAAAGGCUCCCAGGACUUAUAAAGGGCAAUAGAUGUUUAAUUAUGUUGCCAAUUAAUAACAUAACACAGCAGUCUUGAAAUAUUUUUGUGCACUAACUUCAUUGUUUGCUGAGUUUGGGUAAUUACUGUAAUAACAUGUAAACUUUAUGCAGAAAAAGCCUGCUUAGCAUGUCCUAAGAGACACAUCUAGGGAAUAAAUACACAUUUGUGUAUUAUAUAUAAAUACACAUUUCUCUGUCUGGAGCAGGACCAGAUAACCAAAGUGAUGGUUUCCUUUGAGAAGGGCAUUGAGGCCUUUGUAAUGUUUGAAGCUGAAGUGUACCUAAAUUUAUUUCUUUAUUUACAAAUAGCUCUGUUUAUUCUGUCCCUGAACUAACAGAGGUGUACUCAAAAAAAGGGUUUGUGAAAAUCUGACCAUUUUAGUGUAGUAAAAUCAAAGGUGUGUAGGGAAAGAUACCAAGAUUUCUGUUACUUUGGUUCUCUGUUCAUAUUAGAAAUCAUUAAUUGUGCUCACAUACUUUACUUUUAUACAGGAGAUGGGCAGUAGUGACUUGUCAUUUCUUUCAGGCCAUGGUUUCUGGUUAUUUAUAUUCCACCUGUAACUACAUGGUUAGAAAAAUAAGUGAAAAUCAAACAUACUAAUUAAAAAUGGGGCAAAACAGUAAUAUUUCAUGUGAUAAUUACUUAAAGCCAGAAUGCUCUGUGUUAAAGCAAUUAAAUGUAAGUGGGACAUGGAAAUACAAUUUUUUUUUUUCUAAAAUCUAAUUGAGACACUGCAUAAAUACAUUAUUGGUGGCAAUCAGUGCUGUUAAUCUUGCUGUUGUGUGACAAAAUUCCCCAAACCACCACUGUGGACACAUAUCCCUGUCUGGGGGUGUGGACUUCAGUGCUGCCCCAGAGCUGUGUGCGCUGAAACCGCUCGUCCUCCUUUUCCCCUCUGCACAAUUCCCCAGUUCAAACCAGUAUUCUGGGGUGAUUUGCAGUGUAUUGCUCCUCAGUGGACUGGCAGGUCCAAAAAGAGCUAUUACAUUUUUAAUUUCUGGAGCAUAAGCAGGAGUGCCUGGACAUGGGCUGGGAGUUCUUUCUUGGCCUGUUUUCAGUGCAGGUGAAUUUGCUCAGCACAAAGUAAAAAAAAACAAACAAAAAAACCCAACAAACCAACUAAUAAACCCCAAACCCUCUAAUUUGUUUUGUUUCCCACAGGGUUUUAACUUAAAACUUUGACAUUUCUGCUCAGUUUUUUUCUGCUGAAUUUCUGAAGCUCAAUUUAAGCUUUACUAGAGUAAAAUAGUCUUUUCAGGUAACAAACUGCUCACAAAUUUACAAUUACCAAGUGAUCCUUUCCCAGGAGGAUGUAUCUCUGUCUCCACACUGUGUCUUGUAGGUGUCACUGAAGCCCACUUUGUGUAGGAACUCUUCCUUCUACAAACUCACUUUCAGCUUUAGGUGGUUUUUCUUCUGUGCUGCAAAGUGGACAAAAUAACUGGGAGAAUAAAGCAUUUGUCUUGCAGGAUCACACUGAGAGGAGACAUGACUUCUGUUCUUUGUGCAAAUACACCUUUUGUUCCCUCAGCAGAGUAAUGAAUAAAAUAGUAAUGCAUUUGAGUUAUUUUUUUCCUCUUUCACAGGUUGGACAAUAGCUUAAGAGUGCUGAUAUUCCACUGUGUGCUAUUAAACAAAACCAUGCAAAUUCUUGAGACUUUUUUUUUUUCUUGUGCAGUUUAAGAUCAUUUAGGAGGUUUUAAACUUCCAGGUAGCUCAAGAAAACCAGGACAGACUUACUUCAGAGCCCAUUCAGAGUCUGCUGCUUCACUUCUGGACACACAUUGGGAGCAAGGCUCUGGAAAGAUAAGCAUGUUAUUAAGGCAGAGGAAGGUGAGAAGUUACAUCUGUGGAACACAACGAGUAAUUUAACAGGUUUAAUGACUGUAGUUGCUCUGACUGCUACAACUUGCCAGCUGGCUAAAGAUGAAAUGUAUUUCAACACAAGCAAUUGGUAAAAUUCUGAAUUUAAGGAACCUUGCCUUUAAAAUAACUUUCUUGCGUGGCUGGGGGGAGUGAGGGCAAUGCUUUUUCUGUGAUCAGGGUUAUAAAUGCUGUCUGCAGGUAGUCAGCUUGUGUUUCCUGGAACAACAGUCCUUCUACAGCAGCUCUGAAGAUGCCUGCACUGUGGGAUGAGGUAGUAGGUUGUAUAGUUUUAGGGUCAUACCCACAACUGGGAGAUAACUAUACAAUCUACUGUCUUUCCUAAAGCAGCAGAAAAUCAGCAAUGGAAACUUCUCAAUUUUAAGCUCAGUGUCAGAUCCUACUGAAAUACUGUACUUGUAAUGCUUAUGAUGGGAGAAAAUACUUCUGUAAUAGCUGUGGGGAGUUGUGUUUAGAUUCUUCUGCUUCUUGGAAAAGCUGGGUUAGCAUUCUGCAUUAAUUUUUCUCCUCUAAUGAGUAAAAAAAUGAAGACUAGACUGAUUCCUAUGUAAGUGUGGUGGGGUUAUCAAAUAGAAAUUCCUGAUGUUCCAGUUGUUGUGGUGUUUAAUGUUGCUAAGUGAAGUAUCAACCAUCCCUUAGAGUGGACCUGUGGUUGGCUGGCUGAGCUCUUUGCUGAAGGCUGUGCUUCUCUGUCAGAGUGAGGUAGUAGAUUGUAUAGUUGUAGGGUAGUUAUUUUACCCUGUUCAGGAGAUAACUAUACAAUCUAUUGCCUUCCCUGAGGAGUAAAACAAACUGCGACCCUUUGCAGUCAGUGAUGCUGUGAAAAUACUCGUGGAGUAAAGACAGAUAAAUAAAUUCAGGCUUGUAAAGGAGCUGAUAAAUCAGUGCCAGAAUGUGCAGGAUUGACAAUCAUUGUGAAUGGUGCAACCCCCAAAUAAUAUAUUUGACUAACAUGACUUUUCUUCCAAGGUGAGUGACACAGUGCUGGCUGGAGAUGGAAAAUACCCCUGUUCCUACACAGAGAGUGGAACACUCCAUAGAGGGGAAACGAUUCCAAACCAGUUGGGGUUUGAAUGUAAAAUACAGGCAGCUCAAACUUGUACGUUGUGACUUUAACUGUUCUGACACCCCAAUUUCUAUAAUGCAUUAAAAUUCCCUCACUCCCAACUGCUUGGUAAAAGUUGGAGGGAAAACUUAUUAAUAAGUGUACUUGUUUUUCUCCAACUCAGUUUAAUACAAAAUCGAAGUGUUGGCCAGUUUUGGCCAAAACUGACCUCUCACCUUUUUGGGGGAGUGUAAACCUAUGGAGUUUGAGCAUCCAAGAGCCAGAACUUUUCUCCAAGGUGGUUGUUGUCUUAUAAAAAGACUUUUCAAGCUUACUGCAUUCUUUUCCUCCUGCAGUCCUACAUGUACCCAGUCUCUGCUGCUGCACUGGUGUGCCCAGCGAGCCCCUUGCUAUAGCAACAAAAAAACCAUGGAAAUGCUCUUUGGGAUGGCAAGUUUAGGUUAGUCAGAGUGAAAAUGGAGCCGUUCAUGAGUGGUAAAACCAGUUAACCACUGCUUGGUAAGUGCUGACAGUGUAAACUUGAAACAUGUGCCCAGGCCUAAGAGGCAGAAGACCCAAAGCAGCUGGUGAGCUAAAGCACUUCACAGAGCAGCUGCUGAGUGAGAAGAACUGCAAACAGGAAGCAUUGGGCUCCUAGGAAGAGGUAGUAGGUUGCAUAGUUUUAGGGCAGGGAUUUUGCUCACAAGGAGGUAACUAUACAACCUGCUGCCUUUCUUAGGGCUUUAUUAUAACACCGGGACCAGUUUGGCUCCAGCCUACAAACCUCUGCAGCUCUGGCACGUGGAGACAAAGGACAAGGUGUUUCUAAGAGACCUGUGUGUUGGCGACUUUGGUCCCAAACUGAAGUGUAGGACUGAUAGCUGGAAUGCAGCAUGGUGGAAUACUGCAUUUUGGGGACAUUGGGCUGGGAUAUGCUUGGAUUGUGGUAAGUAAGAGGCUGUGUUGGGAAGCCAGCUCCUUCCAGAGGAAGCUGGAGUCCCCCUGUGAUUAGGAUGGAGGUGUUAUGAACUUGUGAACAUUGAGAUGCUGAUCCUGUGUGCUCACAAGGGAGCUGAACCACCCCUUCCUUUGGCUUGGUGCAUUUCAGGUGGAAAAGCCUCCGGUUUUCCGUCCCCAAAAGAACGAGAUCCCAGCUCACUUGAAAGCUGGUGCUUUCUCAGCAGGCAUAGGCACUCCUAGGAAAACAAGUUCUCAGUGGUGGAUUAUUUGCAGUCUUGCAGAAGGGAAGUUUUCAGUUAAAAAUGAUGGUUUGUCUCUCAUGGAAUUAUUAACAAUGAGUCCAUAUUUUUUGCACUACAGCAAUAGUUCAGGGAACUGUGGGAUACAGAGACUUUAACUGCUGAGCACUUUGUAGCAGGAAUAUGUUGUACCUCUACCAGCCACUAUUUAAACUUUGGCAAAUCAGAAUCCUAGAUUAUAAACAUGUUACCAUGCUUAUAUUGAACAUCCUGUAUGAAUUUAAGUGUACAUGUUUGAUUUAGUUAAUAAAAUACAGCAUUUUGUGCAA